rfam:Brassica napus, WGS project CCCW01000000 data, contig: 2060
GAGAUGUGAUGAGCAACAAAUUGGUCCGUGUUUCUGAUUUAACCGUGACCGAAAAUUUUAAACCAAACUCUGAUCUC